GUGCUCACUUUGGCAUCAUAUAUACUCAAAUUAGAACAAUACAGAGAAUGUUGGCAUGGCCCCUGAACAAGGAUAACACACAAUUCAUGGAACAUUCCAUAUUAAA